CUUGGUCAUUUAGAGGAAGUAAAAGUCGUAACAAGGUCUCCGUAGGUGAACCUGCGGAGGGAUCAUUACCGAGUUCAUGCCCUUACGGGUAGAUCUCCCACCCUAUGUUAUUAUUACCUUUGUUGCUUUGGCGGGCCGUCAGGCUUCGGUCAGGCUACCGGCUCCGGCUGGUAAGCGCCCGCCAGAGAACCUCAAACUCUGAAUAUUAGUGUCGUCUGAGUACUAUAUAAUAGUUAAAACUUUCAACAACGGAUCUCUUGGUUCUGGCAUCGAUGAAGAACGCAGCGAAAUGCGAUAAGUAAUGUGAAUUGCAGAAUUCAGUGAAUCAUCGAAUCUUUGAACGCACAUUGCGCCCCUUGGUAUUCCGAGGGGCAUGCCUGUUCGAGCGUCAUUACAACCCUCAAGCACUGCUUGGUAUUGGGCUCCGCUGGUUCCAGCGGGCCUUGAAAUCAGUGGCGGCGCCUUCAGGCUCUGAGCGUAGUAAAUAUUCCUCGCUACGGAGUCCUGAACGGCGGUGGCCAUCAACCCCCAACUUUCUAAGUUUGACCUCGGAUCAGGUAGGGAUACCCGCUGAACUUAAGCAUAUCAAUAAGCGGAGGAAAAGAAACCAACAGGGAUUGCCUCAGUAACGGCGAGUGAAGCGGCAACAGCUCAAAUUUGAAAUCUGGCUCUUUCAGGGUCCGAGUUGUAAUUUGUAGAAGAUGCUUCGGGUGUGGCUCCGGUCUAAGUUCCUUGGAACAGGACGUCAUAGAGGGUGAGAAUCCCGUAUGUGACUGGGUGCCUUCGCCUAUGUGAAGCUCUUUCGACGAGUCGAGUUGUUUGGGAAUGCAGCUCAAAAUGGGUGGUAAAUUUCAUCUAAAGCUAAAUAUUGGCCAGAGACCGAUAGCGGACAAGUACCGUGAGGGAAAGAUGAAAAGCACUUUGGAAAGAGAGUUAAACAGUACGUGAAAUUGUUGAAAGGGAAACGUUUGAAGUCAGUCGCGUCGGCCGAGACUCAGCCUCGCUUUCCGCUCGGUGCACUUCUCGGUUGACGGGUCAGCAUCAAUUUUGACCGCCGGAUAAAGGUCGGGGGAACGUGGCAUCUCUCGGGAUGUGUUAUAGCCCUCGAUUCGCAUACGGCGAUUGGGACUGAGGAACUCAGCGUGCCUUUAUGGUCGGGGUAUCAACCCACGUAACGCGCUCAGGAUGCUGGCAUAAUGGCUUUAAGCGACCCGUCUUGAAACACGGACC
rnacentral:rRNA from 1 species